UACGUAGGGGGCGAGCGUUGUCCGGAUUUAUUGGGCGUAAAGAGCUCGUAGGCGGUUCGAUAAGUCGGAUGUGAAAUCUCCACGCUCAACGUGGAGGGGCCAUUCGAUACUGUCGUGACUCGAGUCCGGGUAGGGGAGUGUGGAAUUCCCGGUGUAGCGGUGAAAUGCGCAGAGAUCGGGAGGAACACCCGUAGCGAAGGCGGCACUCUGGGCCGGUACUGACGCUGAGGAGCGAAAGCGUGGGGAGCAACAGGG
rnacentral:rRNA from 1 species